rfam:Paracoccidioides brasiliensis Pb18 unplaced genomic scaffold supercont2.11, whole genome shotgun sequence.
GGCGCGAUGGCGGAGUGGUUAACGCGAGAGACUAGAAUUUGAAUAGUUAACUGUGGUUAGCCAACGACAACAGUUGGUGCUUAUCUCUUCUCUUCGGAGGCGUAGGUUCGAAUCCUGCUCGCGUCG